rnacentral:rRNA from 1 species
GGCUCUAGCGGAGCCUCUGGGUCCACCUCCCACCCGUGUUUAUUUUACCUUGUUGCUUCGGCGGGCCCGCCUUAACUGGCCGCCGGGGGGCUUACGCCCCCGGGCCCGCGCCCGCCGAAGACACCCUCGAACUCUGUCUGAAGAUUGAAGUCUGAGUGAAAAUAUAAAUUAUUUAAAACUUUCAACAACGGAUCUCUUGGUUCCGGCAUCGAUGAAGAACGCAGCGAAAUGCGAUACGUAAUGUGAAUUGCAAAUUCAGUGAAUCAUCGAGUCUUUGAACGCACAUUGCGCCCCCUGGUAUUCCGGGGGGCAUGCCUGUCCGAGCGUCAUUGCUGCCCUCAAGCCCGGCUUGUGUGUUGGGCCCCGUCCCCCGAUCUCCGGGGGACGGGCCCGAAAGGCAGCGGCGGCACCGCGUCCGGUCCUCGAGCGUAUGGGGCUUUGUCACCCGCUCUGUAGGCCCGGCCGGCGCUUGCCGAUCAACCCAAAUUUUUAUCCAGGUUGACCUCGGAUCAGGUAGGGAUACCCGCUGAACUUAAGCAUAUCA